rnacentral:rRNA from 1 species
UGGGGAAUUUUGCACAAUGGGGGGAACCUUGAUGCAGCGACGCCGCGUGAGGGAUGGAGGCCUUCGGGUUGUGAACCUCUUUCGCUCGUGUGCAAGCCGCUAUUUGUGUAGUGGUGAGUGUAGCGGGUAAAGAAGCGCCGGCUAACUACGUGCCAGCAGCCGCGGUAAUACGUAGGGCGCGAGCGUUGUCCGGAUUUAUUGGGCGUAAAGUGCUUGUAGGCGGUUUGUCGCGCCUGUCGUGUAAUCCUCUGGCUUAACUGGGGGUGUGCGGUGGGUACGGGCAGGCUUGAGUGCGGUAGGGGAGAUUGGAAUUCCUGGUGUAGCGGUGGAAUGCGCAGAUAUCAGGAGGAACACCGAUGGCGAAGGCGGGUCUCUGGGCCGUUACUGACGCUGAGGAGCGAAAGCGUGGGGAGCGAACAGG